UUCAGGAUGUGGGUCCUCGUGAAAAUACAAAAAGAGUGAAAAAGGUGAUGACGUCAAUGUUUAAGGAAGGAUGCUACGUGGUAACAGUUCAAAGCCAACUGGUUGAAUGGUCUCAAGUUAUCUCCAAGCUUAUAUUUUAGCAUAGUCAUCAGACGUUUGCUUGCCUGCACACAAUAUAUGCACUCUUUCCACUUCCUGGGGAGUAUACUGGCAAGAACUUCCUAAUUCAAAUGCUAGGCAUCAAUCAUCUAUUAUACUGGAUGUAGUAUUGAACGUUGAUAUAGA